GGAUGUGAGGGCGAUCUGGCUGCGACAUCUGUCACCCCAUUGAUCGCCAGGGUUGAUUCGGCUGAUCUGGCUGGCUAGGCGGGUGUCCCCUUCCUCCCUCACCGCUCCAUGUGCGUCCCUCCCAAAGCUGCGCGCUCGGUCUAAGAGGACGACCAUCCCCGAUAGAGGAGGACUGUUCUUCGGUCAAGGGUAUAUGAGUAGCUGCGCUCCCCUGCUAGAACCUCCAAACAAGCUCUCAAAAUAUCUUAUUGUACUUUUACUUUUUUGCUGAAAGGAAGCAUUUUAUGGCUUCUCUUUGACAUAUCUGAAUUGCUGCUAUCACUAGUCUUGCUAUUGUUG
rnacentral:snRNA from 1 species